AGGCAGCACCCAGGAGGAGGCAGAGGAAGGCGGCGGUCGUCAUGGUGACCAUGAUGAUGUGUUCCUGUGUGGAGGAGAUGGAGGCAGGUGUGUCUCACUGAGAGACCUGAAG